CCUUGUCACCCAAAUCUCUCAUUCGCCAUUUUACGUCUUAUUACUUUUUCGAUCCACGAUUGAAGUAUAUCGUGGUACUCGAACUUAAAUUUCCCCCUCUCCUCUGGUUCAGUAAUGAAGUAUAAGAGGGUGCUUUGCUCGCAGUCGCGGGUGAGAGGCCAAAAUCCGUCUACAUGUAAACAAAUACUUGCGACCCAAUUCAGUCUGUUACCUAGGCAGAACCACAGGUGGUGAGGGGCUCACUUUCGGGGAGGCUGCGUUAGAGUAACUAAAUCACACCAACGGCCAGCGAAAACGAAUGAGGAACAUAUUCAAGGAUGAGAAAAUCUUACAGUAGAAGGAAAUGUACGGUUUAUGCAUGUGCC
rnacentral:sRNA from 1 species